rnacentral:rRNA from 1 species
AUACGUAGGGGGCGAGCGUUGUCCGGAAUGAUUGGGCGUAAAGGGCGCGUAGGCGGCUUUGCAAGUCAGUAGUGGAAGUCCAUUUUUCAAGGAUGGAAGUGCUACAGAAACUGCGGAGCUUGAGUGCAGGAGAGGUUAUCGGAAUUCCCGGUGUAGCGGUGAAAUGCGUAGAGAUCGGGAGGAACACCAGUGGCGAAGGCGGGUAACUGGACUGCAACUGACGCUGAGGCGCGAAAGUGUGGGGAGCAAACAGGAUUAGAUACCCUGGUAGUCCACACUGUAAACGAUGAAUGCUAGGUGGAGGAGGUAUCGACCCCUUCUGUGCCGCAGUAAACACAGUAAGCAUUCCGCCUGGGGAGUACGGUCGCAAGAUUAAAACUCAAAUGAAUUGACGGGG